rnacentral:lncRNA from 1 species
AAUACAAGAUAUAGUAAAGAAGGCAAUGCUUUAUUUUUUUUCAUUUUUGAUCCGUAAAUGGAGUUGUUAAUGAAUAUGCUUCAUUCGCUGACUCUAUUCCAUUCCCUGACUCUAUAUGAUGAUAUUUCUAUUUCAUGAUAUUUCUAUUUCUUUGAAGCAAAAACUAUAUAGGUUUGAUACCCUGUAUCUAUUCUUCUUUUUUGUAUAUUAGUUAGUAGUGGAAUUUCAGUGCAUUGGGUUCUUUCUUAGAUCUAGAUGGUAUGAAAUAGUGAAAUAGAAUAAAAAAAGCCCUUUCGGAUGAAAAAAGAAGAAUAGUAUGCAAUAUAUCUCACUUGGAUAAAAAAAAUUAAAAGCAAAUUUCUCUUAUCCUCGUUUGUUCCUUCCUUUAGAUAAAUACUUCAAAAUCCCCUUACAAUAACAAAUCCAAUUUACAAGGGACUUCCUCCCCGUGUUGAGAAAACUUUUCUUCGUCCAAUUCUUCUUUUCUUCAUUCAACUCAGUUCAAAAAAGAUACCUCAAAAUACUUCAAUUGGUACGCGCAAGAAAUAGGCCAAUUCGGCAGCUUUUUGUUCAAUUUCUCGUGGAGUAAAAAAUUUAUCAUCAGUACGAGUCAAGGGAAUGAUCCCCUGGCCCCGGAUUUCCAUAUAAAGAAUACGACGAGGAUAAAUACCCUCUUUAACCUGAAUUCUAAUUGAUUGGAUAUCCCGCAUAAGGAAUCGAAGGAAGACGCGACGUUUUAUUCCAGGGAAUCCCCAACGAAAAAUGCACACUAUUCCCUCUUUUCUAUCGAAUCGGUCAUAACCACUACCUACAUUCCACAAAAUAGUACACCACAAGUAGGAGCUAAUGAAUAGGCCUGCGAUUCCGUAGAAAGACAUCACGACCCCCUGCGGAAAAAAAAGAAUUUCUUGAGAUGGAAGUAUAGAUAUAAUAUUCUUACCAAGAUAACUGGAAAUCCCAACCGAUAAGAAUCCUAGUGAACCUAGAAAAAGCAUACAGGCCCAGAAAAAAUUACCCCUUUUUCGAGAACCUUUUAGAAGUUCUACCCAUAUGUGUUCUGAUCGCCAAUUCAUAUUAGAUAUACUAAAUCCAGCAGCGGUCGAUUGAAAUUGAGAGAAUAAGCUAAAUAAUUUUGACUUUACUUUUUUUGAUUCUGAAAUCGCCUUCAGCAACUAGUACUCCUGUGAAAUAAUAGGUUAGAUACAUUGACUUUCUAUUCAAAAAAUAUUCGUUGAUUCAAUUAAAAUAAAUAAAAUAAAACUCGCUAUACCUGGCUCUGCAUAUUCAUGCAUUUAUGCUCGUAGCCUAUAUCCGCAUCCAUAACCGUUUUUCAUUUGUGUGUAGAAAGUGUGUGUAGAAAAAGCCACAUACCCUACCAUAUUAUAUUACUUACACUAAAAAAUACAAUACAAUAGUCAAUAUUCCUUAUAAUAGAUAUACUUAAUUAUAUCAUAAGAAUCUUAAGAUAUUUUUCGACUAGAUAGAAAUAGUAAAUUUGAAUUGAGACACCUAUUCCAUGACGGAUUUAAACUUACCUUCUAUUUUCGUGCCUUUAGUAGGCUUAGUAUUUCCGGCAAUUGCAAUGACUUCUUUAUUUCUUUAUGUGCAAAAAAAUAAGAUUGUCUAGUAUUUUUUAGUGUAUGUAAUAUAAUAUGGUAGGGUAUGUGGCUUUUUCUACACACACUUUCUACACACAAAUGAAAAACGGUUAUGGAUGCGGAUAUAGGCUACGAGCAUAAAUGCAUGAAUAUGCAGAGCCAGGUAUAGCGAGUUUUAUUUUAUUUAUUUUAAUUGAAUCAACGAAUAUUUUUUGAAUAGAAAGUCAAUGUAUCUAACCUAUUAUUUCACAGGAGUACUAGUUGCUGAAGGCGAUUUCAGAAUCAAAAAAAGUAAAGUCAAAAUUAUUUAGCUUAUUCUCUCAAUUUCAAUCGACCGCUGCUGGAUUUAGUAUAUCUAAUAUGAAUUGGCGAUCAGAACACAUAUGGGUAGAACUUCUAAAAGGUUCUCGAAAAAGGGGUAAUUUUUUCUGGGCCUGUAUUCUUUUUCUAGGUUCACUAGGAUUCUUAUCGGUUUGGAUUUCCAGUUAUCUUGGUAAGAAUAUUAUAUCUAUACUUCCAUCUCAAGAAAUUCUUUUUUUUCCGCAGGGGGUCGUGAUGUCUUUCUACGGAAUCGCAGGCCUAUUCAUUAGCUCCUACUUGUGGUGUACUAUUUUGUGGAAUGUAGGUAGUGGUUAUGACCGAUUCGAUAGAAAAGAGGGAAUAGUGUGCAUUUUUCGUUGGGGAUUCCCUGGAAUAAAACGUCGCGUCUUCCUUCGAUUCCUUAUGCGGGAUAUCCAAUCAAUUAGAAUUCAGGUUAAAGAGGGUCUUUAUCCUCGUCGUAUUCUUUAUAUGGAAAUCCGGGGCCAGGGGAUCAUUCCCUUGACUCGUACUGAUGAUAAAUUUUUUACUCCACGAGAAAUUGAACAAAAAGCUGCCGAAUUGGCCUAUUUCUUGCGCGUACCAAUUGAAGUAUUUUUUUUGAACUGAGUUGAAUGAAGAAAAGAAGAAUUGGAAGAAGAAAAGUUUUCUCAACACGGGGAGGAAGUCCCUUCUAAAUUGGAUUUGUUAUUGUAAGGGGAUUUUUAAGUAUUUAUCUAAAGGAAGGAACAAACGAGGAUAAGAGAAAUUUGCUUUUAAUUUUUUUUUAUCCAAGUGAGAUAUAUCGCAUACUAUUCUUCCUUUUUCAUCCGAAAGGGCUUUUUUUUUAUUCUAUUUCACUAUUUCAUUCCAUCUAGAUCUAAGAAAGAACCCAAUGCACUGAAAUUCCACUAAUAACUAAUAUACAAAAAAGAAGAAUAGAUACAGGGUAUCAAACCUAUAGAGAUUUUGCUUCAAAGAAAUAGAAAUAUCAUCAUAUAGAGUCAGGGAAUGGAAUAGAGUCAGCGAAUGAAGCAUAUUCAUUAACAACUCCAUUUACAGAUCAAAAAUGAAAAAAAAGAAAGCAUUGCCUUCUUUACUAUAUCUUGUAUUUAUCGUACUUUUGCCUUGGGGGGUCUCUUCCUCAUUUAACAAAUGUCUGGAACUUUGGAUUAAGAAUUGGUGGAAUACCAGGCAAUCCGAAACUCUCUUAACUGAUAUUCAAGAGAAAAGGAUUCUAGAAAGAUUCAUAGAAUUAGAAGAACUUUCUCUCUUGGACGAGAUGAUAAAAGGGAAACUAAAGACCCAAAAUUUCAAACAUGUAUCUAGAAUUACUGGAAAACUACAAACAAAAAUAGUGAAAAUAAGCUCGUUAGGAGCCCAUCCAAAAUCGUUGUAGACCCAACGAAUUACUAGUUCCCAACCACGGGUGGAGUGAAAUCCAACAAAAAAAUCAGUAACUAAAAGAAUAAAAAAAGCUUUUAUUGAGUCAUUUAAAUUAUAGAAGAAUUCCUGAACCCAAGAAUUCAAAAUGACAAGUUCCUCUUUACCCAGAAAAAAAGAACCACUUAGAAUAGCCAAACAGAUUAUAUUUGUCGAGAAAUGCAAAAUGGUAUGGAGAUGAUCCUCAUUAUUUAUUUUGACCCAUUGUAUUAUUUCCUUGUGUAUUCCUGUAGGAGGUUUUUGUACAUGUGUCUUUAGUUUCCCUUUUAUCAUCUCGUCCAAGAGAGAAAGUUCUUCUAAUUCUAUGAAUCUUUCUAGAAUCCUUUUCUCUUGAAUAUCAGUUAAGAGAGUUUCGGAUUGCCUGGUAUUCCACCAAUACUUAAUCCAAAGUUCCAGACAUUUGUUAAAUGAGGAAGAGACCCCCCAAGGCAAAAGUACGAUAAAUACAAGAUAUAGUAAAGAAGGCAAUGCUUUCUUUUUUUUCAUUUUUGAUCUGUAAAUGGAGUUGUUAAUGAAUAUGCUUCAUUCGCUGACUCUAUUCCAUUCCCUGACUCUAUAUGAUGAUAUUUCUAUUUCAUGAUAUUUCUAUUUCUUUGAAGCAAAAACUCUAUAGGUUUGAUACCCUGUAUCUAUUCUUCUUUUUUGUAUAUUAGUUAUUAGUGGAAUUUCAGUGCAUUGGGUUCUUUCUUAGAUCUAGAUGGAAUGAAAUAGUGAAAUAGAAUAAAAAAAAAGCCCUUUCGGAUGAAAAAGGAAGAAUAGUAUGCGAUAUAUCUCAAUUGGAUAAAAAAAAAUUAAAAGCAAAUUUCUCUUAUCCUCGUUUGUUCCUUCCUUUAGAUAAAUACUUAAAAAUCCCCUUACAAUAACAAAUCCAAUUUAGAAGGGACUUCCUCCCCGUGUUGAGAAAACUUUUCUUCUUCCAAUUCUUCUUUUCUUCAUUCAACUCAGUUCAAAAAAGAUACCUCAAAAUACUUCAAUUGGUACGCGCAAGAAAUAGGCCAAUUCGGCAGCUUUUUGUUCAAUUUCUCGUGGAGUAAAAAAUUUAUCAUCAGUACGAGUCAAGGGAAUGAUCCCCUGGCCCCGGAUUUCCAUAUAAAGAAUACGACGAGGAUAAAGACCCUCUUUAACCUGAAUUCUAAUUGAUUGGAUAUCCCGCAUAAAGAAUCGAAGGAAGACGCGACGUUUUAUUCCAGGGAAUCCCCAACGAAAAAUGCACACUAUUCCCUCUUUUCUAUCGAAUCGGUCAUAACCACUACC